rnacentral:rRNA from 1 species
GACGAACGCUGGCGGCGUGCCUAAUACAUGCAAGUAGAACGCUGAAGAGAGGAGCUUGCUCUUCUUGGAAGAGUUGCGAACGGGUGAGUAACGCGUAGGUAACCUGCCUUGUAGCGGGGGAUAACUAUUGGAAACGAUAGCUAAUACCGCAUAACAAUGGAUGACCCAUGUCAUUUAUUUGAAAGGGGCAACUGCUCCACUACAAGAUGGACCUGCGUUGUAUUAGCUAGUAGGUGAGGUACCGGCUCACCUAGGCGACGCUACAUAGCCGACCUGAGAGGGUGAUCGGCCACACUGGGACUGAGACACGGCCCAGACUCCUACGGGAGGCAGCAGUAGGGAAUCUUCGGCAAUGGGGGCAACCCUGACCGAGCAACGCCGCGUGAGUGAAGAAGGUUUUCGGAUCGUAAAGCUCUGUUGUAAGUCAAGAACGAGUGUGAGAGUGGAAAGUUCACACUGUGACGGUAGCUUACCAGAAAGGGACGGCUAACUACGUGCCAGCCGCCGCUGUAA